GAUGAACGCUGGCGGCGUGCCUAAUACAUGCAAGUCGAGCGAACAGACGAGGAGCUUGCUCCUCUGACGUUAGCGGCGGACGGGUGAGUAACACGUGGAUAACCUACCUAUAAGACUGGGAUAACUUCGGGAAACCGGAGCUAAUACCGGAUAAUAUAUUGAACCGCAUGGUUCAAUAGUGAAAGACGGUUUUGCUGUCACUUAUAGAUGGAUCCGCGCCGCAUUAGCUAGUUGGUAAGGUAACGGCUUACCAAGGCAACGAUGCGUAGCCGACCUGAGAGGGGGGUUGGGCACACUGGGACUGAGACACGGUCCAGACUCCUACGGGAGGGAGGAGUAGGGAAACUUUCGCAAUGGGCGAAAGCUUGACGGGGCAAAGCCGCGGGAGUGAAGAAGGUUUUCGGAUCGGAAAACUCUGUUUAUAGGGAAAGACAAAAGGUGAAGGUACCAAGGACGGUUUGACGGUACCUAAUCAAGAAGGCACCGCUAAAUUCGUG
rnacentral:rRNA from 1 species